UGGGCUGUAGCUCAGUGGUAGAGUGCAUGCCCUGAAUGCAUGAGGCCCUGGGUUCGGUCCCCAGCACCACAU
rnacentral:tRNA from 1 species